UACGGAGGGUGCAAGCGUUAUCCGGAUUUACUGGGCGUAAAGAGCGCGCAGGCGGUCGUUCAAGUCGCGUGUGAAAGCCCCCGGCUCAACUGGGGAGGGUCACGCGAUACUGAUCGACUCGAAGGCAGGAGAGGGUAGUGGAAUUCCCGGUGUAGUGGUGAAAUGCGUAGAUAUCGGGAGGAACACCAGUGGCGAAGGCGACUACCUGGCCUGUUCUUGACGCUGAGGCGCGAAAGCUAGGGGAGCAAACGGGG
rnacentral:rRNA from 1 species